rnacentral:rRNA from 1 species
UCCUACGCGCGGCAGCAGUGGGGAAAUUUGGACAAUGGGCGCAAGCCUGAUCCAGCUAUUCCGCGUGUGGGAUGAAGGCCCUCGGGUUGUAAACCACUUUUGUAGAGAACGAAAAGACACCUUUUAAUAAAGGGUGUUGCUGACGGUACUCUAAGAAUAAGCACCGGCUAACUACGUGCCAGCAGCCGCGGUAAUACGUAGGGUGCGAGCGUUAAUCGGAAUUACUGGGCGUACAGGGUGCGCAGGCGGUUGAGGAAGACAAGUGGGAAAUUCCCGAGCUUAACUCGGGAA